UACGAAGGGGGCUAGCGUUGUGCGGAAUUACUGGGCGUAAAGCGCACGUAGGCGGAUUUGUAAGUAGGGGGUGAAAUCCCCAGGCUCAACCUGGGAACUGCCUUCUAAACUGCAAGUCUGGAGAUCAGGAGAGGCGAGUGGAAUACCGAGUGUAGAGGUGAAAUUCGUAGAUAUUCGGUGGAACACCAGUGGCGAAGGCGACUCGCUGGACUGAUACUGACGCUGAGGUGCGAAAGCGUGGGGAGCAAACAGG
rnacentral:rRNA from 1 species